rnacentral:rRNA from 1 species
AACCGGAUUAGAUACCCUGGUAGUUCCACGCGUAAAACGAUGUCGACUUGGGAGGUUGGUUCCCCUUGAGGAGUGGCUUCCGGAGCUAACGCGUUAAGUCGACCGCCUGGGGAGUACGCCGCAAGGUUAAAACUCAAAUGAAUUGACGGGGCCCGCACAAGCGGUGGAGCAUGUGGUUUAAUUCGAUGCAACGCGAAGAACCUUACCUACUCUUGACAUCCACGGAAUUUGGCAGAGAUGCCUUAGUGCCUUCGGGAACCGUGAGACAGGUGCUGCAUGGCUGUCGUCAGCUCGUGUUGUGAAAUGUUGGGUUAAGUCCCGCAACGAGCGCAACCCUUAUCCUUUGUUGCCAGCGAUUCGGUCGGGAACUCAAAGGAGACUGCCGGUGAUAAACCGGAGGAAGGUGGGGAUGACGUCAAGUCAUCAUGGCCCUUACGAGUAGGGCUACACACGUGCUACAAUGGCGCAUACAAAGAGAAGCGACCUCGCGAGAGCAAGCGGACCUCACAAAGUGCGUCGUAGUNCGGAUCGGAGUCUGCAACUCGACUCCGUGAAGUCGG